rnacentral:sRNA from 12 species
GCCCUGUGCUCCGAACUGCCUCCGUAUGGAGUGCGUGCCCGCUUCAGGCGGGAUAGGACACAGGGCCGUU